rnacentral:rRNA from 1 species
AUUGAACGCUGGCGGCAGGCCUAACACAUGCAAGUCGAGCGGAUCUCCAGACGGGUGCGUAAUACCUAGGAAUCUGCCUCGUACCGAGGGAUAACGUCCGGCAACGGGCGCUAAUACCCAAUACUUGCAGAUGCGCCUAGGUCGGUUUAGCUAGGUGUUGGGGUAAAGGCCUACAAGGGCGACGACCCGUAACUGGUCCUAGAGGAUGAUCAGUCACACUGGAACGGAGACACGGUCCAGACUCCGUCGGGAGGCAGCAGUGGGGAAGAUUGUAAAAUGGGCGCAAGCCUGAUCCAGCCGUGCAGGGUGUGUGAAGAAGGUCUUGGGAUUGUAAAGAACUUUAAGUUGGGAGGCGUUACCAACAGAAUAAGCACCGGAUAACUACGUGCCAGCCGCCGCGGUAAUAC